AUCCCUACACAGCACAAGCUGUGAGGAAGCCCUUCUCCUCCUGCACCUGCAGGGACCUUGCAGUUGGACAAACACAGCACAGCCAUGUCCCACUGGAACCAAGCAUGACUCUACCUUUGAAACAGUGAAUAAGAGCUCCAAGGAAGGAGGAAAUAGCCUGUCUUCAGGAAGCUUGAUCUCAGCUUCUUUCAGUGAGGCACUCAGUUUAGUUUUUGCUCUGAAGAUUUUAGCACCUCUCCCAAUGGAGUCAUUUUGCACUGCACAAUCGAGAGAUCUCAGGAGAUUCCAGGUUUUGUCCAUUGCU
rnacentral:lncRNA from 1 species